rnacentral:rRNA from 1 species
GACAGCAGUAGCCACGGUAAUACGUAGGGUGCAAGCGUAAAUCGGAAUUACUGGGCGUAAAGCGUGCGCAGGCGGUUAUAUAAGUCAGAUGUGAAAUCCCCGGGCUCAACCUGGGAACUGCAUUUGAGACUGUAUGGCUAGAGUGUGUCAGAGGAUGGUAGAAUUCCACGUGUAGCAGUGAAAUGCGUAGAUAUGUGGAGGAAUACCGAUGGCGGAGGCAGCCCCCUGGGAUAACACUGACGCUCAUGCACGAAAGCGUGGGGAGCAAACAGGAUUAGAUACCCCGGUAGUCCCUGUCUCUUAUAC